rnacentral:rRNA from 1 species
CAAUAGCGUAUAUUUAAGUUGCUGCAGUUAAAACGCUCGUAGUUGGAUUUCGGGUGGGAAUGGCCGGUCCGCCGUUUCGGUGUGCACUUGCUACGCCCACCUUGCUGCCGGGGACGUGCUCUUGAGUUCACGCUCGGGACACGGAGUCGGCGAGGUUACUUUGAGUAAAUUAGAGUGUUCAAAGCAGGCCUACGCUCUGAAUACAUUAGCAUGGAAUAACACGAUAGGACUCUGGCCUAUCUUGUUGGUCUGUAGGACCGGAGUAAUGAUUAAGAGGGACAGUCGGGGGCAUUCGUAUUUCAUUGUCAGAGGUGAAAUUCUUGGAUUUAUGAAAGACGAACUACUGCGAAAGCAUUUGCCAAGGAUGUUUUCAUUAA